rnacentral:rRNA from 1 species
UACGUAGGGUGCAAGCGUUAAUCGGAAUUACUGGGCGUAAAGCGUGCGCAGGCGGUUUUGUAAGUCAGAUGUGAAAUCCCCGGGCUUAACCUGGGAACUGCGUUUGAAACUACAAGGCUAGAGUGUGGCAGAGGGGGGUGGAAUUCCACGUGUAGCAGUGAAAUGCGUAGAGAUGUGGAGGAACACCGAUGGCGAAGGCAGCCCCCUGGGUUAACACUGACGCUCAGGCACGAAAGCGUGGUGAGCAAACAGG